UACGUAGGGUGCAAGCGUUAAUCGGAAUUACUGGGCGUAAAGCGUGCGCAGGCGGUAAUGUAAGGCAGAUGUGAAAUCCCCGGGCUCAACCUGGGAACUGCAUUUGUGACUGCAUUGCUGGAGUGCGGCAGAGGGGGAUGGAAUUUCGCGUGUAGCAGUGAAAUGCGUAGAUAUGCGGAGGAACACCGAUGGCGAAGGCAAUCCCCUGGGCCUGCACUGACGCUCAUGCACGAAAGCGUGGGGAGCAACAGG
rnacentral:misc_RNA from 1 species